GGGGAUGUAGCUUAGUAGUAGAGCACCUUGCUUGGCAUGCAAGAGGCCCUGGGUUUCAUUCUCAGCACUACAA
rnacentral:tRNA from 1 species